rnacentral:rRNA from 1 species
AGUACGUGAAACCGUUCAGGGGUAAACCUGAGAAACCCAAAAGAUCGAAUGAGGAGAUUCAUCGUCAAUAUAUUUAAUAUAUAUAUAAGUUAUGAUGUAAAUUAUUUUUCUCUUUAUGGGUUAUUUAAUAUAUACAUACUUGUAUUAUUUUAUUGUUAAAUAUUAUCGACGUGCACUUCUCCUCUAGUAGGACGUUGCGACCCGUUGGGUGUCGGUCUAUGGCCUUAUUAAGUAGCCUUUAAUUCCUUAAAAAAAUUAAAGAUUAAUUUGUGUUUCCUGACCGACUGCCCGGCGGUAUUCAUAUGAUAAUGAGUCGCAUUUUAUUAUGCGUUCAUACCCAUCGCAAGCGAGGCCAGUUUAUUAUCCUGGUAGUUACGGACUUAGUGCCGUCGCUGGGCCUGGCCAGCUGUUAGCUGUAUGGUGUUCUAGAACUGACUCAAAUAUAAUAUUAUCGGUCGGCAAUGCUACUGCUUUGGGUACUUUCAGGACCCGUCUUGAAACACGG